rnacentral:rRNA from 1 species
GAUGAACGCUAGCGGCAGGCUUAAUACAUGCAAGUCGAGGGGCAGCAUGAGUGUAGCAAUACAUUUGAUGGCGACCGGCAAACGGGUGCGGAACACGUACACAACCUUCCUAUAAGUGGGGAAUAGCCCAGAGAAAUUUGGAUUAAUACCCCGUAACAUAAUGAUGUGGCAUCACAUUAUUAUUAUAGCUUCGGCGCUUAUUGAUGGGUGUGCGGCUGAUUAGAUAGUUGGCGGGGUAACGGCCCACCAAGUCUACGAUCAGUAGCUGAUGUGAGAGCAUGAUCAGCCACACGGGCACUGAGACACGGGACCGACUCCUACGGGAGGCAGCAGUAAGGAAUAUUGGUCAAUGGACGCAAGUCUGAACCAGCCAUGCCGCGUGAAGGAUUAAGGUCCUCUGGAUUGUAAACUUCUUUUAUCUGGGACGAAAAAAGGCGAUUCUUCGUCACUUGACGGUACCAGAUGAAUAAGCACCGGCUAACUCCGUGCCAGCCGCCGCCGUAAAAC